rnacentral:lncRNA from 1 species
UAAACUGCUACCUGCAACAAGGACCCUUCAGGAAGGCUCUCACCUUGCAUUCCUACCCUGGGAAUGAAAGAGGUGCUGGGGGAGUUCUGUUCCACGUGCGCAGACUUCUGAGUUAGGAGGACCCGGCUAUCCCCCACUGCUUUUGUGUUGAUGUCUCCCUCAUUUCUAGGAAUGCCCCAGUCCUGUUACUAUAUUUGGAGACAGCUUCUAGGAAAAAGCUCUCCCCCUAUCUCCACCCCAACCCCCAAAUCACAUUCCCCUUACUCUCACUCUCUGCCUAUCUCUCGGGUGCUCUAGAGUCGCGGUAGCCACCACCACCACCUCCCCCCCCCCCGCCCCUGCCAACCCCAGCCCAGCCCAGAUCAGCCCCCGCCUCUCCCAGCCCCUGCUAUAGGGCGGAUGGCCUGGGUCCCGGCUCUAAGGCGCUGGGCAGCUUUGCAACAAUGUUGCAGAAGGGAGAGUAGAGCCGAGGAGAGGAGGACCUGGAGCUGCUUGGCGCGAUAGGGAGUGAGGGUAGAGGGGAGCUGUCUUUGUGGCGGCGGAGGAGGCUGAGCGCAGCAACAUCUCCCCCCUCUCUGUAAAGAUUUUUUUCCCUUUUGCACUUUUAAUUUUUAUUUUUGUGGAGAAAGGGGCCUUCCUAGGAGUAAGGGGUGUGUAUAUGGGGGAGGGUGCAUUUUCCACCUCUCACUCCCUUCCUUUGCCCUUCCUACCCCCCACCCCCACUCCCAGCCACACUGGAUGUGGCCUCUGGGUAGAUCGUGGCGUGGUCGCGGUGAAGAAAUGUUUGCGGGGAGCCUGACGGGACGAGAUGGCAGAAUGAGUCAGGGAUCUGCUGGGGAUCGAGGCGGCACCCGGGCCGGGGCAGUACAGGCUGGCGGCUGGUUCUUUCCCCGCCCCCCCAACCCCCACCUUUCUCAGCAGUGACAGGCGGAGCAGGGGAGCGCUCCCUGCAGACCCUCGGAAGGAGGGAUUCGCUGGCCUGGCUUACACUCCGAGGUGUGUCCUCCAGCUGCCUAGGGGAGAGGGAACUUCCAGGGCCCGCUUUGAGGGACCAAGCCACGUGCCCCAGGAGCAGUAGGAGAAGGGGAAUCGAUAGAGCCCAGGAAGGACCCCAGACAUUGAAAUUACGUCCAAAACGCAUCCCCAAAAGGCGAGAGCUGCGGUAAAGGGACGUGGCCUAGGCUUUUGUAUGCCUGAAGUUUAAAAAAAAAAAAAAGGAAAGAAAAAAGCAUGGGUUAGACAGCCUUGGGGGUGUGUAUCUGCGUGUCAGAGCAGAGAUAAAUACAAAGUUGCUUCGGCGGGACUUGGAAAAUAAACAAAGAGAAAAAGGCA